ACCACUAACCAGAGAGCACAUAGAUGAGACAACUAGUGUAAAGCGUUUUGCACACUUACCCAGUGGCGACGACCUGAAUGAGGUCUGUUGAAAUAAUGCAUUACAUACGACAAAAAAGUAAUGCAUUACCUAUGAACAUUUUUUUCAGCGCAUUUGUAAUGUACAAAAUAAAAAGUUCUACUCAUACGACAGAAUCGAGCUCUUGUCAACUUCGUUUCUGUAUGCCCCUUCCCCGCUGACCAAUAAACGAUUUUCGUCUUUCGUUGCGUCGCGACGAAAUCGCCGAAUUUCGUUUUGGACUUUACCGUUUUUUGCAUGGAAUGCGUGCCUUCUUUCGUUUGGUUUUUUUGUCUAUGCCUAUUCCUUUUGUGUGUAUAGUGUUAAUGAGUGUAAAUACAAGUUCAAAAAUGCAUAUGUGUGAUGAUUUCUGUUUUCGUUUUACCCGCCGCGGCGCGUCACUUUUCUGAUAUUGUUGAGCUGUGCGGACGUAAAUUUAAAGGGAAGUAUCUGAUGCUAUAAAAACCGAAGGGUCCACUAAGAGGACCUAUAUAAGUACAAUAAGAAACUGCUUUCGGGUCCAGAAAGGUCGACUGGAAAAGCAGAAGUUCGAUAAUAAGGACAAACUAGAUAAUAAGGCAUAGCUUUAGAUUUAGAUUUAGAUAGAUAAGACUAUACAUUUAUUUAUAGAUAUUUAGAAAUAAUAAAUAAUAAUUUUUAAAAAUUAAAACAAAAAAAUACUACAUUACUCAAGCGUUUCUAUCUUUCAAUUAGUAAUCAAUUAUUUCUCCAAUUACAUUGCAUUAAGAAGUAAGCCAUUUUAUAUAGUGGGAAAAUGGGUUGCAGGUAUAUUGUGUUGUAAUGUACGCACAUUACUAACCCAUAAGCGAUUUUGAAAAUGUAUAGGGCGUUUUCUUCAGGUUGCGGAAUUUCUACAUUACAAUAUUUAAAAAGUAUACGCAUGGGUAAUGGAGAGCCGAAGGAAACUUCGUCACCUCAUUACUUUCUGCAUUACAAAAUUCAAUAAUUUCAUGCACCCGGGAGAAAAAGCGGCCAUUCCUUAAAAAAGUAAGGCAGCUUGUAAUCGAUCUUUUCAUGCACACAGGCGACAAGUAAUCCAUGAGUAAUGGACAAAA